rnacentral:rRNA from 1 species
UACGUAGGGUGCGAGCGUUAAUCGGAAUUACUGGGCGUAAAGCGUGCGCAGGCGGUUUUGUAAGACAGAGGUGAAAUCCCCGGGCUUAACCUGGGAACUGCCUUUGUGACUGCAAGGCUUGAGUGCGGCAGAGGGGGUUGGAAUUCCGCGUGUAGCAGUGAAAUGCGUAGAUAUGCGGAGGAACACCGAUGGCGAAGGCAAUCCCCUGGGCCUGCACUGACGCUCAUGCACGAAAGCGUGGGGAGCAAACAGG